rnacentral:lncRNA from 1 species
GACCGUUUCCCUUUGACGACACGCAGCCAAUCGCUGCUAAGCAAGAGGGCGGUGCUUAGACGGGUGGGUAGCAACAGUUGCCCCGGUGAGGACGAGGCGCCAUAGUCACGGUAGUCGUGGCGACAAGAACCCAGCAACAAGAAUCAACAAUAACAAUUUGAACCAUUAAGAAAAUAAAACUCCGCGCCAAACUAAGAUCAUCCGUCAAGAAGCGAAAGAGGGAUUUGGGCUGUUGUCGUCAUGGCAACUUCAGGCUACACCGCUGAGGAGCUUCCGCCCUCCCAAUCACAAGGGGGCAACGUCACGACGUCCUCGUCGACCCAGCAGAAAGCCACUUCCACGUCCCAGUUCCUCUCCGACAUCCAGAGCUCGCCGGGAUCCGCUCCUGCACAGACGGCCUCGAUCAUAAGAGCACAGGCCACACCCCUUGUCACUCAAAAGAAAGUGGUUUUGACCACGCCCCCUCAAGGAGCCGUGUCAGGAGAGAUACAAAGCUCCGCCUCCCAGGCAGGAAACGGCCAGAGCGCCCAGCAGUACAUAGUGGUGACUGUUACCGAGGGCUCUCUUCACUCCAAUGACUCUGAGUCGAAUUCUCCUCCCGCGGGACAGACUGGUGUACCCACACAGGUAGUGCAGCAGGUGCAGACAGCACAGAGGUCAGUGGUUCAGGCCACAACCAAGAGUCAAAGUGGACAACUGGGUGUCAGCAACCUACACAUCACACCUGAGGUACACACACACACACACACACACACGCACACACACUUCAUAACUGCUUCAAGUAGAAU